GGCUGGCUUCCUAAGCCUUCCUUUGAAAUCAGGAAGGCUUCCUGAACCCACAACUCUUCUGUUCUGCAUGCUGAGAAAACCAGCACUUUGUGGAUAAUGCCAAGUCAGCUGUCCACAGGAGUAGCAUCCAGGACAUUUGGAUGGCAUAGGUCUGCAGUGGCAGUGAAAGAUCAUGUGGAUUGAAUGACCUUCCCAAGGGUAACUUUUAUUAGGAACCAAAUGAGUCUUGCCUUCCACAGAUGUUUUUUCAAGACUGUAUGUGCAGCAAUAGUGUGAACCAACACCUUCUUUGAAUAGUUUCCCUGAGAACAAUCGAUAACUUUUACAAUAAUUUAACGAAGAUUUGAAAAUGAAGAACAGGAAGCCCAGUCUAGAAAGACUCACAUACCACCUUCAAUUGGUUGCCACAGGAAUAAGGGGAACUCAAAGCAAGAUGCAUCUACGUAGGAUCUCGAGAGGACAAUUGAAAAAAAAAAAAAAACACUCCAGUUGAUAAUGAAGAUAAUGAAGAGGUGUAAAGAGAUGCUGAAGCAUUGUGAAGUACCUGAAAUUAUCUUCCAUGACAACAAGCACUUGUUAUUUACACAGAUGUCACAGAAGACAAGAGAUUACUGGAUCAGAGACAAAGCACAUUUAUACUCACAGCACAGUGGGAAGCAGUCACUGCAUAUUCAUUCCCAUCAGUUCUCUCCUCAACCCCAAGUCCUAUGGCAUUCAAGACAAUUACUGUGAAAUAUAAUUAUAAUAUAAUCCCUCUCUUGUAAUGAAUGAUUUAAUAAGUUGCACUUCUUUUCAGGAAGCAAUGUAUUUGAAGUGUCUUACAAUAUACUAAGGCUAUUUUUUUCAUGUCUCCUUCUAACACCCACCACUCAUCCUCUGUGUUCCAGCCAUACU